GGAGAGGUCGCAUAGUUGGUCUAGUGCGCCCGCCUCGAAAGCGGGUGAGGGUCAAACCUCCGAGAGUUCGAAUCUCUCCCUCUCCGCCA
rnacentral:tRNA from 1 species